rnacentral:rRNA from 1 species
UCGAGAAUCUUCCGCAAUGGGCGAAAGCCUGACGGAGCGACACCGCGUGCAGGAUGAAGGCCCUCGGGUUGUAAACUGCUGUCACGCUAUAGGAACCUCCCUUCGGGGACUGACCAAAGCGAGAGGAAGCACCGGCUAACUCCGUGCCAGCAGCCGCGGUAAGACGGAGGGUGCAAACGUUGCUCGGAAUCACUGGGCAUAAAGCGCACGUAGGCGGCCUACUAAGUCGGAUGUGAAAUUCUGCGGCUCAACCGCAGAACUGCACCCGAUACUGGUUGGCUCGAGGAUGGUUGGGGUGAGUGGAACUCCAGGUGGAGCGGUGAAAUGCGUAGAUAUCUGGAGGAACACCGGUGGCGAAAGCGGCUCACUGGACCAUUACUGACGCUGAGGUGCGAAAGCUAGGGGAGCAAACGGGAUUAGAUACCCCCGUAGUCC